GACAGAGGUGCCGAGCGUUAGGCGGAAUCACUGGGCUUAAAGCGUGUGUAGGCGGACCGUUAAGUGUCUUGUGAAAUCCCACGGCUCAACCGUGGAACGGCUGGGCAUACUGGCGGUCUUGAGCGGUCCAGGGGCGAGCGGAACAAGCGGAGGAGCGGUGAAAUGCGUAGAUAUCGCUUGGAACGCCGACGGUGAAAACAGCUCGCUGGGGACCUCGCUGACGCUGAGACACGAAAGCCAGGGGAGCGAACGGG
rnacentral:rRNA from 1 species